rnacentral:lncRNA from 1 species
GAGGUUUCCGGCCCGGGGCCCGACUGCGGGUGGCAUUUCUGGCUAAGCCGUUAGGCGCGAAUUGUCUGUGUCCAGAAAACACAGGGCACGUUACCCGGUAUCGUGGUCUACACCUCGCCCACAAAUCCAUCCCAGGCUGUAUCCUCAUGGAAGCUUUUUCCAGAUGUGCUUGAGGGUUAAGAUCGCAAUGUGCAAGAAGAAAAAGUGCACAUUGGAAAACCUUCUCUUCGGAGAUAUCUAUAUCUAUAUUUAUAUAUAUUUACAGAUAUGGAGAUAUAUACACACACGUAUCUGAAAACAUUCUGACGUUUUAAAAACGGAGCACCAGAGGAGGGGGACUUCAUCUGACUUGUUCAGCACUGUCUCCCAGGCCCUGGCACAGAGGGAGCACUCGAUACACACCGAUGGGCUGAAGGUGUGAAUGGAUCUGGGGACUAGAGUGAUGGUUAUUUGGCAGACAGCAUGCCCCGCCUGGGCAGUAGCCGUGAAGACUCUUCUUUUCCUCUCCUCGCCUGCACUCUUUAGGAUUGAACAGCAUUGGUUCAAUGCAUAUUCUGGGAGCACAGAGAAAAAAGGGAUCAAGUUCCACCAUUAUGCAAAAGGGACUCCUGUAAGCCAGGUGAAGAAGGGGCAAGGCCCUUCUUGGUCAGCAGGGAUAAGGCAGUUGUGUAUGGGAGAGCAUGCGAGGAGGGCGAGGGCUGGGGGAGAUGGAGCAGGAACAUUUGGUUGGGGCUCUGAGGCACUCUUCUGCUUGGGGAGUGUGUGGGCAAAGGCAGGGGCUGUGCAGGAAGGAUUUAGCUAAAGCCAUAAAGCUGGAAGAGGGUUUGGGGAACGGCUUUGAAGUUACAUUUGUUUUGCAAGUUCUUUGUUUUUAUUAAUGUUUGCAUGUUAUUUGGGUAGCUGUAGGGAGUAGGUUUUCGGGGAGUUAAAGUGCACUCUCUCACCCCUCCUUCAGUCCUACUACUGCCCCUAGAUACACAAUCACCUCAAGUGACUUUCACGUCACCAGGAAUGGGCAAAGUCUAGAUUUUGGAACAGAAAAUAUUUUAGGUCCCCGUCCCUCUCUGUAACCAAUAACCAAUGCCAUAUAAAUGGAAAAGUAUAAAGAAGAGGAACCAACGGGGAUCUGCUGUAUUGUGCAAGAAAAUAUACAUUGGCCGCCAUUCUGGACCCUGAGCCGUUGUCAAAACACAGCUUAAUCCCCAUUCCCUGGGCCCGAGACCCUGCAGCCCCCACGCUGCCCGGCUUCCGGUCUUACCUGGGGCAACCUGACCAACAAGAACGCGGAAGGCCAGGAGCCAAAAACAGAGACUCCUGAUGGGUAACAGAAGGAAAAGGAAGGAGUCUUCCUUUAGGUGAAUGAGGCACUGUCGGAGUCACUCUGAGUUCUGAGUCACCGUUCAGUCUGGGCUGGUUGGAAGAAAUUGGGUUGAAUCUCAGCAUUCAGGUUUGACAUGUUCUGGGCAAGGACUGCUCUAAAUGGAAACUUUUCCCUUUCUGUUCCUUAAGGAUGUGAAGAACCCAGCAGCCUUUCCUGAGGCUGUGUCUUCUGUGCCUUGGAGGCUGCCAUUUCUCCAAGUAGUCCUGGAGAUUCUCAAAUGCUAAAGUUAACCAACACAGUGCCCUAAGACCAGAAAGGAGAAAAAAUGGAAGUUCUGGGUCCUGCCAAAGGACUAUUUCACUGAGCAGACUGCUGAGACCUCUGAAUUAUGUGGACACUUGAGAAUCAGUCAUGUGUUGGGGCCGGCGUCGUGGCUCAUGCCUGUAAUCCCAGCACUUUGGCAUUUUGGGAGGCCAAGGCGGGUGGAUCACCUGUGGUCAGGAGUUCGAGACCAGCCUGGUCAACAUGGUGAAACCCUGUCUUUACUAAAAACAAAAACAAACCCCAAAAAUUAGCCAGGUAUGGUGGCCGGCACCUGUAAUCCGAGCUAGUCGGGAGGCUGAGGCAGGAGAACUGCUUGGGCUUGGGAGGCAGAGGUUGCAGUGAGCCGAGAUUGUGCCACUGCACUGAAGGAACAAGGUCCAGUGAUGUCCCCAGAGCAUGUAGCUGGUCAAAGACCAACCCCGGACCAGAAUGGAUGCCUCCUGAUCUCACUUCAGUUCUCAUUCCACUUCACCACACUGCUGGUUGACUGUGGUGUCACGGUGCAUAACCAGAACUAAUUUCUGGCAUUACCUUCCAGGAUCUAGUACAUUAUGGGACACAAAAGGAAUUGCAGCAAAGUUAGUGAGAGGGUACUUUGAUUACAUUCUGUGUUCCACAUCUAAUCUACUGUGUGAUCUUUUGCAAACCACUCAACCUCUCUAGGCAGCAGCUUGGAAGGAGCUGGAUUUCUGGUCCUGGAUGGAAGGAGCUGGAUUUCUGACCCUGGAUGGAAGGCGCUGGAUUUCUGACCCUGGAUGGAAGGCGCUGGAUUUCUGGCCCCAGGACAUCCCAGUGCUAAGGAGAGUGACCUCAGACACCAGAGACACAGCAAGUGCAGCAGAGCUGACGGCUCUGGGAACACUGGUCUUCAAAGUCUUCCCCGUUGUUGGUUUUGUUGUCUUUAUUUACAAAUAAAGUAAAUAUUUCUUAUUUAU